GAGCCUGUUGACUGUACAGCAGUUGACGAAACCGGAGCAGUGGCUUCUCCCUUGGCUACGGUUCCUGGGCACCAGGUUGCUGCCGAGCAGAGAGGCCAAGCGCAGUCUUCCUGCACCAAAGAUACACCAGCAGACAAGCCAGCAACGUGCCAGAAACAAGAGCCGUCCCAGGGACUUUUGGAUGGGCCUGUUCAGAGCAGCGAGCAGGAGCAAGGGCUAGGAAAACGCAGGGGGCUGGCUGGUCCUGGGCCACCCCUCCCCUUGGGUGCUGGUGCGGGGGAAGGCAGGGGCUUGCCCAUCACCCGCUCAGGCCCUAACCUACACCUCUCUGUCUCCCACAGGCAUCCAUGACCUCGCACAAGCCCCGGCACGCCAGCCACAGCCCGCCCACGUCAGGAGAGCUCUGCGGGCUCUGCGCAGGGCUUUGUGCUGCAGCUUCAUCCCAGAAGAGUGGGAGUAGCAGCAAUGUAUCAGCAAUGUAGCCCGGUGGUCGUGGGCAGGGGUCUUUCAGGAUGAAGGCAACGAGGAAGAGGAGGGAUGCCUCCUGCUAUUAAGAGCCGGCUGCUCACACCCCAGAGUCGCUCUCCAGCCAGACUCUCCAGGGCGACAGGGAAGGCACAGCUGGGCCAGGCUGCUGGGGAAAAAGAGCCUUCUCCCAAAUGAGGCUGGGGGAAAGCCAUAGAAGGCAGCCCCAGAGCUCUUCCCCUUGAGUCAUCGAGAAGCUUUCCUUGCACGCAGGGACUUGUUGAACUCCACAAUGGGCCUGACACAUGUCCCACUGACGGCAGGUUCCUGCCUGGGCACCCAGCAGGAUUGGGCUCUACAUACCUCGGGGAAGAGCUGCAGGGAGAAGAGCCUCUCCAAGCACCCAAGGGUUUGCUUUGGGAAAGAAGGGAGACGCAAGUGUGGAGGGAGAGUCUACCAGAACAGGUGUAUCCCGUUUUCUUUUCCUGAAUUAUGCCUGUCUGUUCUUGGACACCGGCAUUCCUCGGGACACGGUGCAGCGCCGCAUUCAAGAGACCCUGCUCUUUCUCUCUUGCACCCUUAGAAAGAAGCAGGCUGUUGA